CCGUAUCUUGUCUCUACUCUGGUCAGUACGGUUUGCAUCUUCGUUGUCGAUACGCAUUUCGAGAAUUGAGCUAUUUGUAUCUAACGAUUGUUUUGUUUUGAAAAUAUAUUGUUACGAUUGGACUAUUUUUUCUAUCUCGGAAUAGAAGAGACCGCGGCUGCAAGCAAGAAUGCGGUCGAUCGCAACUGUAGUCACAGGCCUCAUUGCACUGCGGGCUGCGGCUGCCGCCUGCGGGUCGUCUUUGACUUGUCUUUUAUGUUCGUCGCUAAUACAGACAGCGGGCACCAUAAUAUGAAACUGCGAAUUUACAUUUAAAAAGGUUGCAAGUAUGAAACAAUGUUUUAUUUCUGUUUUGGCAAUUUUAUAGAGACAGAACUAUAUGGAUAUAAUUCCUAAUAUU